UUUUUGUGCCGAAAUGGACCGUUCCCUUUUGAGAUAGCUCGAGAUGAACCGUUCUCUAGAGAUAUAGCUUUGGUUCUGUUGUUUUAGCAGCUUGGCAUUUGGUUGCUGCUUAGCUCAGACUGGCUUGUUCUGCCUAUCUGCUGAGCUAGCAGCUUUGCCUUUGUCCCAUGCUGCUGCAAGUUAAGCUUGAAACUCCAGCAAAACGUGUAUCAUACUCGUAUGCUUUUAGUAAGGGUGUGUUGACGCCAAAAUUGAAAGUUUGGUUGAAAUUGGAACAAUGUGACGGAAAAGUUAU
rnacentral:sRNA from 1 species